CCUACGGGAGGCAGCAGUGAGGAAUAUUGGACAAUGGGCGCAAGCCUGAUCCAGCCAUGCCGCGUGCAGGAUGACGGUCCUAUGGAUUGUAAACUGCUUUUAUACGAGAAGAAACACUCCGACGUGUCGGAGCUUGACGGUAUCGUAAGAAUAAGGAUCGGCUAACUCCGUGCCAGCAGCCGCGGUAAUACGGAGGAUCCAAGCGUUAUCCGGAAUCAUUGGGUUUAAAGGGUCCGUAGGCGGUUUAAUAAGUCAGUGGUGAAAGCCCAUCGCUCAACGGUGGAACGGCCAUUGAUACUGUUAAACUUGAAUUAUUAGGAAGUAACUAGAAUAUGUAGUGUAGCGGUGAAAUGCUUAGAGAUUACAUGGAAUACCAAUUGCGAAGGCAGGUUACUACUAAUUGAUUGACGCUGAUGGACGAAAGCGUGGGUAGCGAACAGGAUUAGAUACCCUGGUAGUCCCACGACCGUAACGAGUAGAGUACUAGUCUGUUGGGUAGGACGAUACUCUAGUGGUCGUAGACGAAGUAGAGUAAGUAAGUACCGACCGUCGGGAGGUAACGGUUCGUCGAGAAGUAGUUAACGUUACGAAGUUAGAGUUAGACGGCGUUGAGACGNGCGACGGACGACGACGAGGGAGGAGG
rnacentral:rRNA from 1 species